rnacentral:rRNA from 1 species
CUCCCUUAGCCCUCACUAAAGGUCCCGCCUGCUCAAUGUCACCAAUAAAUAGCCGCAGUUUCCUGUGCUAAGGUAGCACAAUCAAUAGUCUACUAAUUAUAGAAUAGAAUAAAUGGUAAAACGAGUUUUACUUUCUUACUUUGAUAAACCUAAAACCUAUAAAAAAAGUUAAAAUACUUUUCAUACUCGAGAAAGACGACAAGACCCUACUAAACUUAAACUUAUGAUUUACUGGGGCGGUCCUAAAACAACUUCUUAUUCCCCCAAAAACAAAACCCCUAUUUACUAAACUUAGUUACUAUAGGGAUAACAGCAUAAUUUUUAUUUAAAGAUCCUAUUAAAAUAAAAGCUUAUGACCUCGAUGUUGAAUAUCUUACCUGUUUUAAGCAAAAAUAAAACAAGGGGGUCUGUUCGACCCUUAAAAACUUACA